GGGGGGAGAGUUUGAUCCUGGCUCAGUCGAACGGCAGCGCGAGAGAGCUUAACACAUGCAAGUCGAGCGGGGAGCUUCGGCUCUCAGUGGCGGACGGGUGAGUAUAUACGUGGGCAACCUGCCCCGAGCUCUGGAAUAACCUCGGGAAACCGGGGCUAAUGCCGGAUAUGACAUUGCGGGGGAUCUGGUGGUGUGGAAAGAUUUAUCGGCUCGGGAUGGGCCCGCGGCCUAUCAGCUUGUUGGUGGGGUGAAGGCUCACCAAGGCAACGAUCCGUAGCUGGUUUGAGAGGACGACCAGCCACACUGGGACUGAGACACGGCCCAGACUCCUACGGGAGGCAGCAGUGGGGAAUUUUGGACAAUGGGGGAAACCCUGAUCCAGCGACGCCGCGUGGGGGAUGACGGCCUUCGGGUUGUAAACCUCUUUCAGAAGGGACGAAGCGAGAGUGACGGUAUCUGCAGAAUAAGCACCGGCUAACUACGUGCCACCGGCCGCGCUAAUACUUAAGGUGCAAGCGUUGUCCGGAAUUACUGGGCGUAAAGAGCUCGUAGGCGGCCUGUUGCGUCGGCUGUGAAAACCCGGGGCUCAACUCCGGGCCUGCAGUCGAUACGGGCAGGCUAGAGUCCGGCAGGGGAGACUGGAAUUCCUGGUGUAGCGGUGAAAUGCGCAGAUAUCAGGAGGAACACCGGUGGCGAAGGCGGGUCUCUGGGCCGGAACUGACGCUAAGGAGCGAAAGCGUGGGGAG
rnacentral:rRNA from 1 species